AAUCUUAGUGUUUGGUCAUCUCACAGUCUGUCUGCUGGUGUUUCUGCCCCAGUUUCUCAUUUUAGGAGCUCUAUGGAUGUGGUUUUUCAUCAGCAUGAACAAAUUAAAAUCUAAAAACAGAACUGAUGACAAACAUGAAGAGACUCAAGUGGUGCACAUCUGGUCUGUGUGUAAAUAAGCUAAGCUGCUGUAGUGAUGUCACAACUCUCUAUGACAUCAUCACCUCUAAAAAAUCAUCUCUCAGCAGAGACAUCAUUUCACAUACAGUAACAUAAUAAUGACAAACUGUAACAUUUCAAUGCCUUAAUCCUGUAAAAACUUUGCAUCUUUAUACAGACGAUACUGCAAUCUACUCGAUUACAUCUUCACUAAAUCAGGCAGUUAUUGAAUUCUAGCUUAAAACUGCUAAUCUCUUUGCAUGUGUUUUAGUACUUAUUGCUUAGAAAAAUAUGAGAGGACUCUACAAUGUCUAAAUCUUGCAAAAACAUUGU